rnacentral:rRNA from 1 species
GACGAACGCUGGCGGCGUGCUUAACACAUGCAAGUCGAACGGGCCUGUCUUCUUUUUUGGGGGUGGGUUGAGUGGCGAACGGGUGAGUAUCACGUGAGUAACCUGCCCUUCGGUCCUGGAUAACCGCUUGAAAGGGCGGCUAAUACGGGGUGGUCCGGUUGGUCCGCAUGGGCUGGUCGGGAUAGAUUCACUGUUUUUGGUGUUUCGGCGGGGGAUGGGCUCGCGGCCUAUCAGCUUGUUGGUGGGGUGAUGGCCUACCAAGGCGGUGACGGGUAGCCGGGAUGGGGGGGUGGGCGGUCACACUGGGACUGGGAUACGGGCCAGAAUCCUGCGGGAGGGAGCCGUGGGGGGUAUUACACGAUGGGCGGGAGCCUGGUGCAGCGACGUCGCGGGGGGGGUGGGGGGCUUCGGGGUGUGAACCUUUGUUUCCGGUUGUGAAGGCCCUGUUCGUGUGGUGGGGUUGACGGUAGCCGGGGAUGAAGCGCCGGCUAACUACGUG